GUUUCCUGAGGCCUCCCCAGCCAUGCUGAACUGGAAGAAGAGACUGGAUCACGGGAAUGCUUUAAUGUGGAAACCCUGAAUUCAUUCCACACAUCUGCCUUCCGGGGACACAGGGUUAACUAGGUACCUGGAACUUCCCUUGAAGGAAUUCAAGAUUUUCCUUCUUUUCUAUGCUGGCGUGGCCUGCAGGCCCCUAAAAUGGGACUCUCUACUCCGUCUCAUUUCUGCUACUAAAAAACAGUGGAAGGGAUGUGAAGUAGAAGGCAACAACAACUAAAAAAGUCUGUUAAAAUAGUCACAGGCUUCUGAGAAGGUGACAAUGGAAACCAUCACUUUCUGUUAUUUUAACUGUCUUUGAUAUUUUUAUUGUGGCCACAAGGAUUCUCCUUCCUCUUAUUACUUUAUGUCUACAUACAACAGACUCAUAUGAAUUCUGAGAAACCAGGUUGGUCAGCCUCCAAGGACAUAUUUUCAAACAGCCACUUCCAAUGUAACUAGUGAGUAUAACAGACAAGAAGAUAUUCUCAGAAGGUGGAUAUGGGGGCAUGGAGAUCAACUGAAUGGAGAGGAGUUAUUAGAAUACAGAAUCAGACCUGAUCAAGGACCUGUCACCACCUUUCAAUGGGGCCUUCACAAUGUCUACCCUGAGGGAUUUCAGAACUGCUAAGUGCUGUCUCCCAUUCUUCCCCUUUCUGUAUGAAAGUAUUGUUUAUUCCUAGGUCCAACAUUCUAUGUUAGAUAUGUGUAGGGGAAGCAGGUAAAAAACGAAGACACACAAUUCUGGCCAAAGGAACAUCUCACUGUAAUGGCAUGACUAUGAGUUUCCAGAUCAGUGACUCCCUGUUUGCCUUAGUAGUGUAUAAAUUAGAAUCCUAUUUGGAAAAUAAAGCUGUUUCUACUAGAAUAUGAUCCAUGACUUCUGUAAACAUUGUAAAAUAUCAUUGUUGACAACCUGCCAUCUGGUGUUAUCACGGUCUCUUAAGAAUGUGAAUCUUUUUCUAAAGCCCUGUAAACUGUGUUUUUCAAUAUCUUCACUUAAAGACUAAUAUGAUGGAUUUUUGAAAAUUACCAUAAGUUUUGAUAUAGCCCCUUUUAAACAACAGUCUAAUAGUUAAA